CCUACGGGUGGCAGCAGUGGGGGAUAUUGCACAAUGGGGGAAACCCUGAUGCAGCGACGCCGCGUGGGUGAAGAAGUAUUUCGGUAUGUAAAGCCCUAUCAGCAGGGAAGAAGAAAUGACGGGACCUGAGUAAGAAGGACCGGCUAAAUCCGUGCCAGCAGCCGCGGUAAUACGUCUGGUGCAAGCGUUAUCCGGAUUUACUGGGUGUAAAGGGAGCGCAGGCGGCACGGCAAGCCUGAAGGGAAAGCCCGCGGCCCAACCGCGGGACUGCUUUGGGAACUCCCGGGCUGGGGUGCCGGAGAGGUAGGCGGAAUUCCUAGUGUAGCGGUGAAAUGCGUAGAUAUUAGGAGGAACACCAGUGGCGACGGCGGCCUACUGGACUGUGACUGACGCUGAGGCUCGAAAGCGUGGGGAGCAAACAGGAUUAGAUACCCUGGUAGUC
rnacentral:rRNA from 1 species